UCCCCUAUUUUCCCCCUUGUAUUCUUAUUUAUGUCUCCAUCUUCUCCAAUUCGUUUAUGUUUUUUCCUGACAUUCCUCACGCCAAUACAAUUUCCACACAGACGGCGUAACACAGCAAAGACUACUUUUCGGCUGCAGUCCAGCCAACUUGAAGCACACGACGCCAUGAAAGAAAAUAUCGACACUGGAAAGUAAAACGAAAAUAUUUAAAAAUCUUGCUAAAAUAGCUGGAAUACAUUUGAUAAAUAUAUUUGGAUGGAAGUUGUAGUUAUUGAUGUUUACUUGAUUAAAUGAUUUCUAAGGCGCCCAUUUGGUUUAGUCAACUGAUUGAUCGAUCGAUCGAUUGAUUGAUUGAUUCGAAGCGAGUUGCUAAAACAGUCUGAGGUCGCCAGUCAACACUUCGAUGCUAGAAGUCUUUAGCAGACGAUAAAACGAUGAAGGAGGGAAACACGACACUUCCACCUCGUAUUUUCACUUUCACACGUACACAAACAUACAUAUACACAUAAAUGCACACUCACACGUACAUAAACACAUUGGUACGCUUAUUCGUUGCAAAGACAGAGAAAAAUAAUAAUGAAAAAAACUGAGAAAGAGAAAAGAUAAUCAGAGAGAAACUGACUGAGAGACCGAGAAGGAGGGAGAGAGAGACAGAAGAAGAAAGAGAUGAGAACGACCGGGAGAGAGAGGUAGAGAUAAACAUAUAUCGAAAGACAGCAAUUUGAGUAACAAAUGCAGAGUGAUAAGAUGAAUAAAUAGUGAAGAAAAUAGAUAGAAAGACAGAGUAAUGUUGAGUGGCAGAGAGAAAGACUUUGAGAGAGUGAUAGCGAGAUUUAGACUGAGUGAAAGAUAGUGAGAAAAAGACAGAAGGAGGGGGAUAAAAAGACAGUAAAACAGAGAAAGACAAAUAUAUUCGCAGAUUACAGUGACACAGACAGAGAGUAAGAAAAAAGAAGCGAGAAGAAAGAGAGAGAAAGACAAAAAAAAGGAGAGAGAGAGAGAAAGAUUGAGUGAGAUAAACAGACAUCGAUAGAGAUGUGUCAACAAUACACGGUCGGUCUUGUACUUUCGCCUUUAAACAUGUGGGGUACACACAUAAACAUACACACAUUAAUAUAUGCGCACUUAUACUGAAACACUCGUACACACUGACAUGCGUAGAGUCACGCAGUAAACACGCACAAACGCACAGAAGGGAAAAAACGCGAGCAGACAAAACCACAAACAAAAACACACCGAUGCACCCAGCCCACCCGUACACCAAAAUGCAGAACAGGCCAAAGAAGUGAGCACACCCACCCAAACUACAUGGCAAUUCUUUACCACCCGUAUUUACCUGUAUCUUUCUUUAUCGUGUAUCGCGAUGUAUCGUGAUGCAAUGGAAUUGAUUCCGUCGUGUUGAUAGAUUGAUGCACCCCCAAUCAAACAAGUGGCUCUCUCCUCCGAAUAAUUUGUAGCCAAUCCAAGAAAAAGUGACUUUGUAUCAUAUAAAAAUAUCAAAAGGAUAUACAUACAUAUAUACACACAUAUGUAUGUAUAAACGCACACACAAUUUAUAAGUUACGUUUACUAAAACACGUAACACGUAUAAUCAACAGAAUGGCAACAAGACCACGAACAGUAGUGUGUUAUAUAUGUCGCCGGGAGUUUGGAACCAGAUCUAUUGGUAUACACGAGCCACAAUGCUUGAAGAAAUGGAAACUGGAAAAUGAAAAAUUACCAAGUCAUUUACGGCGAAAAUUACCUAUAAAACCAGACACUUUGCCGGCUAUCUCUGGUUCGAACAGCCAAAAUAUAUCGAGAUUUAAUGAAGCUGUUUGGAAAAGUGCUCAAAAUAAUUUAGUUGCCUGUCCAAGUUGUGGUCGGACGUUUUUACCAGAUAGAUUAGAAGUCCAUAUCCGCAGCUGCAAAAGUAGCGAAGAUAAGAUUAAACCUAAACAAGAAAACAGACCCAAAGAAAAGAAAAUGAUUCGCUCUGACACGGCGACACUGAUUACCCCAGUGUUAAUUACCAAGAAUCCUAAUGAAGAAGACAGUUCUUCACAAUCAAAAUCCACUUCAAAAAGACCGACCUUGCGUCGAGAAGGUACUUACACACCGGAAAGACAUUUAUCUCCUGAAAGGAUUCCGGAUAAUAAAAAUCCGGUUGUUCCUUGCAAGACGUGUAGGUUUUGCCAACAAAGCAUCUCUUCUAACUUAAUAGCUCAACACGAAGCUGAAUGCCGUAAAAAUACAGAACCGGAGUUUACGAUAUCACCUCGGGUGCAGGAAUUAGGGAAGUCCUCGAAAAUAGCAACUCUAAAAACAUCUCAAGAGUGGAAAUCAUCAAAGCAGAACAACGAAAAUAAUACAGUUCGAUCGUCAAAGAAUUUAACUCAAUCAUGUCCAAAUUGUGGUCGAAAUUUUACUGAAGACCGAAUGUUUAUCCAUCUACGAGCUUGCAAACCGCGGCAGCAGGAACAAACCAUUCAAAGCAAAAAACAAGAGCUGUCUCAAAAGGUGAAGUCUUAUUCCCCCAAGAUAUCAGUCAAACAGAGAUCAUCUAAAAUUUCUCCGGCCAAAAUUGAACCAAAAUUAGGAUUCCGUUCACAAGGACCGAUUCUGCCCAUGUGUUACAUUUGCGGACGAGAAUUCGGAAGUAAGUCGUUGCCAAUACACGAACCAAAAUGUUUGGAGAAAUGGAAGAAAGAGAACAGCAAACUGCCACCAAAAAUGAGACGGCCGUUACCUAUGAAACCUGCCGAUUCUCUCACCGGUAAUGACAGAAAUGAAAUGGCGUGGAAAAUUUCUCAAGAAAGCCUCGUAGCUUGCGAAAAUUGUGCACGUACGUUUCUUCCGGAUCGUUUAAUAGUGCACCAAAAAUGUUGUAAACCAAAGCAAGAGACAUCUACGUCUACACUUAAAUCUAAAACCCGGGAGUUAUCUUCGUCUACGAUGCCGGCCAUUGCCAACAGACCAUGUACCAUAGUGUGUUAUAUUUGUGGCCGUGAAUUUGGUACCAAAUCAAUAUCGAUCCAUGAACCCCAAUGUCUGAAGAAAUGGCACAUCGAAAAUGACAAAUUACCGAAGAAACACAGACGACCAGAGCCCCUGAAGCCUGAUAAUAUUCUUCUCAUCCAAAGUAGCGGUGGUAUGUAUGACGUUGAUGCAAUGAACGAAGCUGCAUGGAAGAGUUCUCAAGCAGCAUUGGUCCCAUGUCGUGUAUGCAGUCGUACGUUUCAACCAGAUAGACUUAUCGUACAUGAAAAGAGCUGUCGACCAAAGAAGAGAUAAAAUAAAUGAAAAAGAAAAGCAAACGUAUUUUUGUAAUUGUUAUUGUGAAAAUGAAUUUGUAUAUAAACACUCCGACAUUAAGCUGGGUUUCUCAUGCAUCGAACCAUCCAGUGUCAAAAGCUCAAUAUGAAUUCUGUAUAUGGAUUUUGUACUGAUGUGCAUACUGUAUUAAUGUGGACACACGACUGUGAUUUUACUAACGUGCUGACACUAAGUAUUGUUCUGCUCUUGUUAUUAUUCCACACUGCACUAACGAGGUGAAAACUAUAUUGCUCUGAAUGCUAUCCCAUUGAGGAUAUUCAUGGAAAAGAUAUGCCAAACAAAUGG